rnacentral:rRNA from 1 species
CCUACGGGAGGCAGCAGUAGGGAAUUUUCCACAAUGGACGAAAGUCUGAUGGAGCAACGCCGCGUGAGGGACGACGGCCUUCGGGUUGUAAACCUCUUUUAGUAGGGAAGAAGCGAAAGUGACGGCACCUGCAGAAAAAGCACCGGCUAACUCGUGCCAGCAGCCGCGGUUAA